rnacentral:rRNA from 2 species
GGCAACGAUCAGUAGCGGGUCUGAGAGGAUGAUCCGCCACACUGGGACUGAGACACGGCCCAGACUCCUACGGGAGGCAGCAGUGGGGAAUUUUGGACAAUGGGCGCAAGCCUGAUCCAGCCAUGCCGCGUGUCUGAAGAAGGCCUUCGGGUUGUAAAGGACUUUUGUCCGGGAGCAAAUCCCAGUGGUUAAUUACCUACUGGGGCUGAGAGUACCGGAAGAAUAAGCACCGGCUAACUACGUGCCAGCAGCCGCGGUAAUACGUAGGGUGCAAGCGUUAAUCGGAAUUACUGGGCGUAAAGCGUGCGCAGGCGGUUGUGCAAGUCUGAUGUGAAAGCCCCGGGCUUAACCUGGGAACGGCAUUGGAGACUGCACGACUAGAGUGCGUCAGAGGGGGGUAGAAUUCCGCGUGUAGCAGUGA